CCCAGUUUGGCAGUUAAGUGGGUGGGGCAGCACCUAGGAUUAUAUGGGAUCAAGGAGAAUCAAGGAGGAGGCUGUUCUUGAAGGAAGCUGUGUGAGGAAGGCUGAAGACAGCUGCUUGCUGAUUUCCAAGUUGACCACGUACAUGGACAACUGAGAGACCAGUUGACUGUGAACUACAAUAUUUCAAUUCCAAUCAAGGGUCUGUGCAUAAUGGCAUAUUAAUAUAAGCCUGAGAAUGUUCCUGCACUAAAAAUAGGAUUGGUAGAUUGAUCUUCUUUUGGCAUGACAGCCCUAAAGCAAAAGUAAUGCAAAGGUUUCCAACAUCAGCUGUUGGACUUAAAGUGAAGCAAUCAAUAGAAGUUCCAUCAGCUCAGCAUUAAUUUUCAGAUGUUCCUGUAUCCAUCAGUCUUGAGCUCCAGACAGAGCCAAACAGGGAGAAGAGACACCACCAGAACAGAGAGGUAAAUCCAAAUCUGAUCAGCAUGAAAAAGCUGACCGACAACAGAACUGACACAAGGCAGCUUAGAGAUGUUGAAAAGGACAGAGCUACCAGUAAGACCCAGGAAACUCCACAGAAAACAGCAGCUAGCUCAGAAAAAGAGCUCUCUGUUAUGAAUGAUACAGACACUUUCAACAUAGAUCAAGAAAGGCUUCAUUUCAACAAGACCGUUCAUACUCCAUCUGUUAGCUUCCUCAGCCUCCUAAGAGAUUGAUCAUGCACAGGGCAGGUUUGGAGAGUUGUCUGUAUAGGUGUAAAGUAAAAAGGGAUAAGCAAAACAGAAAAGGCAAGGGAAGCUGGUCCUGUGUUAAUGUUGAGAGGCCACCAAGCUCAAGAGGGAGUACAUGCUAGAAGCUAAGCAUCUCAUUAGCUUGGGUCUCAUUUAAGCUCAUGUUACCUCAGAUAUGCUCAUAUGGAUAACACAUGGUAAAAGACAAAACAUAGACACUGGACAACAUUUGGUGCUACAGAGCUCCAUUUUGGUGCUUCGAGCUCUUCCAAUGACAUUUUGAGACUUUCUGCCCAUCAAGCAGUGUGGAAGGGCCCUUCUCUGAAUUAAAGAAAAUAAUUACUAGUUGCUUGUUAUGCAAUAGUGACAAAACAUUAGAGAGUUUUCGUAUGAUCUGUAAGUAACUGCAUUGUACUGAUGGUGGUUGGUGCCCUUUCAGAAAAGGCACUUACUGCAAUUGCCAAUGAACAGUGUAAGCUGCUCAGGAAGUUUGCACCAUUAACACUGCCACUAGCAGCCACAAAGUAAGCUACCAAAAUCCCUCACUAGCACAAAGAUUACAUUUAUGCCUGUGUGCAACAGGGUAGAAAAUUUGUUCUGUUGACCCACCCCAUUAGCAGGGGUUGGCGCACUGCAGGGUUGAUGCUGAGCCAUUGUGGCAGGAGGAGGUGGGAUUGGCACUUCAAACAGAAGGAACUAAGGUCUGGGGAAAAGGUCUCUUCAGGAAAACCCUUGCAACAAUCAACUUGGGGAGAAUACUUAAGCUAAGGUGUGUUUUUGUUGCCUUGCUAUUGAGUUACCAAUGAAGCCAAGUCCCAGAAAUGGGAUAAAUCUGAAAAGGAUCAUGGUCUAAAGGUGCAAUGCAUAAUUUCUUUGAAUAAUUACUCAUUCAAAAUGUCAAUUUCAGAUGCACCUUUCCGCUGCGCCCAAUUACUUUGCACAGGGGCUAUUAGUCCCAGGAAAUUGUCAGUUUUACUCGUAUCAGUGGUAAGGAGUAGAAUCACAGAAAUGUAGAGCUGGAAGGGACCUCGAGGCAUCUAGUCCAGUCCCCUGUGCUAAGCCAGGAUGAUGUAUACCUAACCCACCCCUGGCAGGUAUUUGUCCAACCUGUUCUUAAAAGCCUCCAAGGACAGGGAUUCCACAACCUCCCUUGGAAGCCUAGUCCAGAGCUUAAUUGCCCUUAUAGUUAGGAUGUUUUUUCUAAUAUGUUACCUAAAUCUCCCUUUCAGCAGAUUCAGCCCAUUACUUCUUGUCCUACCUUCAAUGGACAUGGAGAACAAUUGAUCACCAUUCUCUUUAUAACAGCCCUUAAUAUAUUUAAAGACUCUUAUUGGGUCCCAUCUAUCAUUUCUUUUCUAAAAAGUAAACAUGCCCAGUUUUUAUGUUGUUCAAGACUUUUUAUUAUUUUAGGAGAAUUUCAGUUACUAAACUAAAAUGUGUUGCUGGAAGCAUCUUUCAGUUUUGGCAUUACAAGGUCCUUCUUCAUAAUGCAUCACCUUUAUGUAUUAAGCUUUGGCUCUUGCAAGUCUCAUCGCUCUAUAGCAGCUAGUAAUGCCUUAAGUGUAUGGGGUUUUUGGGUUGCAUGUGAAUGUAUUAUUAUUGUUACCAGUUAAAGGACAGAAACUCUCUGGCUUUCAGUCCAGAGCUAGAAAGAAAGUAUCUGAGGAGUGUUGUUGUUGAUAGUCUGGUUAGUAAUAAAUUCUGACCUGCAAAUUAUUGGCUGCACUAACAUACUACUUUUUCAUGAGUCCUACAAGAAAUUGUCCAGCUAAUGAUAGAGAAGUUAAAGUUGAGGGACAAGCAGGUAUAGCUUUUUUGCAUUUCUUUAACAUCAAAGAAAAUAUCGAAGUGACAAAAGUGUACGUAACAACUUGUGUUUAGGGUGAGUGCAUCCUUCUCCAUAGGCCCUUAUAUUAUGUUCUAAGACUGGAAACUCUUUGGGACAGGGACUGUAUCUUCCUAUGUGCGUGUAAAUCAUGCCUAAUGCAUUGUGAGCGCUACUAGAAUACAACAAUUCAUUGAAAUAUUCCAAAAACCAUUUUAAUAUUGAGACACAGGAGCCAGCCCUGAAGUCACUGCACACUGUCAUUGAGCCAAAGGCAGAUUUGGGAGUGGAAGGAAAGUGAGUUCUGACCCCUAAUCUUUGUCAGAACCACUGUUUAUGCACUGAGAUAUAAAUCGGGUAAAAUGAACAGAUUUAAGAGAGAAGCAAAAAUUGAUCUUCAAAAAGUAAGCAAACUGCAGAGAUCAAUUCAAAGAAAAAAUUGCUUCAGGGGUAUGAAGAGUACCGUGUAGAUCCUUCAGACCGAUUCUCCUGCUGAUGUAAAAUGGUACAGCACUGUUGAAACCCAGGGAGCUGCACUGAUAUACACCAGCAGAGUAUCUGACCCUUUGUCUGUCUUAUAUACUUUGUGGUGAAAAAGAUGUAGUGUGUGAAAAGAGAGCGUUAGAUAUAUGUAACUGAUGUAGGGCUUAUUUUAUCUAAAUGAAACUUUUAAAUUAGCGUUUCCUCAGAACAGGGUCUCCCAGGUUUGGGAAUCUCAGGAAAGAAAAUUCAUAGUACUUGGCUGUCUCAGGGAGAGGUCAUGUGGCUCAUCUGAAAUUGCUGCAAACAUGACUGCAGUACUGUUCUUGCAUAUACUUAGGGAACACAUGAGAAUUUCCUGGGUAGAGGCAGUUUCUUCAAUCCCCUUCCUCUUUUUUUCCCCCCCCCCACCCCCAUGGUCUCACUGAUUUCAUGUCAGCUCUCUGAUUCCCAUAUUUAAAACAAAAUUAAAAGCCUGGUUUGUGGCUGCUGCCGCAACCGCCACCACCUGUCACUCCCUCAGACCAUGUGUAAGUACCUGCUAAGGUCUCACAUGUUCACCAGAGACUACUGAUCUAUGAAAUGUGGGUUUCGAUCCAUUCUAUUGGUGAGCUGAUCAACGGACUGUAAGCUAGGAAUGAUGUGAUUUGUGUGUCGGGUGUGGAAACUACGGCUGCAGCCAUGACUGUAGCCAUUGGAGUUGACAUGAAAGGUUUUUGUUUUUUGUUUUUUUUAAUGACCAAAUUAUGUUCAAAUCAUGAGAGCUCCAAACCCCAAUCCAGUUUGUGAUAAACUCAGCACCACAGGGUGCCUGUGGGAGAUUAUAAAAGCCUUAAUAUGUAAGGAAGACUACUU